AUUGAACGCUGGCGGCAUGCUUUACACAUGCAAGUCGAACGGUAACAGGCCGCAAGGUGCUGACGAGUGGCGAACGGGUGAGUAAUGCAUCGGAACGUGCCCAGUCGUGGGGGAUAACGCAGCGAAAGCUGCGCUAAUACCGCAUACGAUCUAUGGAUGAAAGCGGGGGACCGUAAGGCCUCGCGCGAUUGGAGCGGCCGAUGUCAGAUUAGGUAGUUGGUGGGGUGAAGGCUCACCAAGCCAACGAUCUGUAGCUGGUCUGAGAGGACGACCAGCCACACUGGGACUGAGACACGGCCCAGACUCCUACGGGAGGCAGCAGUGGGGAAUUUUGGACAAUGGGCGCAAGCCUGAUCCAGCAAUGCCGCGUGCAGGAAGAAGGCCUUCGGGUUGUAAACUGCUUUUGUACGGAACGAAACGGUCCUGGUUAAUACCUGGGGCUAAUGACGGUACCGUAAGAAUAAGCACCGGCUAACUACGUGCCAGCAGCCGCGGUAACAC
rnacentral:rRNA from 1 species